GGCCCAGCUUCCUUGCUGUAGUUUCUAGCAUAACACCAGGGAUGUGGUGGUAAAAGUUCCUAGAGAGAAAGUGUUGAGAACAGCUGCUGUCAGCCCAGGGUGCUCCGGGUAGUAAACGAUAGUGUUGGUUACCAGGGCUCUGCUGCGCCAAGGCAGUGGAGGGUGAGUCCUGGCAACCCCUGGGUGACCACACAGGGGUCUGACCUGCCAGCCUUGUCCUCUCCACCAGGUAUGUGCACUACGCGUGACCAGCCGGGCCCGCAGCCGCAUCCUCAGGGCAGGGGGCAAGAUCCUCACUUUCGACCAGCUGGCCCUGGACUCCCCUAAGGGCUGCGGCACUGUCCUGCUCUCCGGUGAGUGAUACGUGGUCGACGGGUUUGGAGUGAGCUGUGUGGCUACUGGCAGCCUUCACCCUCCUGGAUCUGGGAUGCCAGAAGCUGGGCGCCAGAUCCCUGUCUCACCCGGUUCUCCUUCCCCUUCCCUAGGUCCUCGCAAGGGCCGAGAGGUGUACCGGCAUUUCGGCAAGGCCCCAGGAACCCCGCACAGCCACACCAAACCCUAUGUCCGCUCCAAGGGCCGGAAGUUCGAGCGUGCCAGAGGCCGACGGGCCAGCCGAGGCUACAAAAACUAACCCUGGAUCCUACUCUGUUAUUAAAAAGAUUUUUGCUGACA
rnacentral:sRNA from 1 species